GGGGAAGGGUGAGAACCUUCGAUUAAGGUUCGACUCGAGCGAAAGAACGUUGCCAACGGUAACGGCCCGUAGGGUGAGGAGUGAAGCGACGAAUAAUCCUUCCCCCACCACCA
rnacentral:sRNA from 1 species